GAACGCACAUUGCGCCCGCCAGCAUUCUGGCGGGCAUGCCUGUUCGAGCGUCAUUUCAACCCUCAAGCUCUGCUUGGUGUUGGGGCCCUACGGUUGACGUAGGCCCUCAAAGGUAGUGGCGGACCCUCCCGGAGCCUCCUUUGCGUAGUAACUAACGUCUCGCAUCGGGAUCCGGAGGGACUCUUGCCGUAAAACCCCCCAAUUUUUCAAUGGUUGACCUCGGAUCAGGUAGGAAUACCCGCUGAACUUAAG
rnacentral:misc_RNA from 1 species